rnacentral:rRNA from 1 species
UCGAGAAUCUUCCACAAUGGACGAAAGUCUGAUGGAGCGACGCCGCGUGAGUGAUGAAGGCCAUACGGGUUGUAAAACUCUGUCAGGAGAGAAGAAUCGCCGGGGUGCCAAUACCAUCCUGGUUUGACGUUAUCUCCAGAGGAAGCUCCGGCUAACUCCGUGCCAGCAGCCGCGGUAAUACGGGGGGAGCAAGCGUUGUCCGGAAUUAUUGGGCGUAAAGGGCGUGUAGGCGGCUUGGUCAGUCGAAUGUGAAAUCCCACGGCUCAACCGUGGAAUUGCGUUCGAUACUGCCUGGCUUGAGUAUGUGAGAGGUGUGCGGAAUUCCGUGGUGUAGCGGUGGAAUGCGUAGAUAUCAGGAAGAACACCGAUGGCGAAGGCAGCACACUGGCGCAAAUCUGACGC